rnacentral:rRNA from 1 species
GACGAACGCUGGCGGCGUGCCUAAUACAUGCAAGUAGAACGCUGAAGAGAGGAGCUUGCUCUUCUUGGAUGAGUUGCGAACGGGUGAGUAACGCGUAGGUAACCUGCCUUGUAGCGGGGGAUAACUAUUGGAAACGAUAGCUAAUACCGCAUAACAAUGGAUGACACAUGUCAUUUAUUUGAAAGGGGCAAUUGCUCCACUACAAGAUGGACCUGCGCUGUAUUAGCUAGUAGGUGAGGUAAUGGCUCACCUAGGCGACGAUACAUAGCCGACCUGAGAGGGUGAUCGGCCACACUGGGACUGAGACACGGCCCAGACUCCUACGGGAGGCAGCAGGAGGGAAUCUUCGGCAAUGGGGGCAACCCUGACCGAGCAACGCCGCGUGAGUGAAGAAGGGUUUCGGAUCGUAAAGCUCUGUUGUAAGUCAAGAAAGGGUGUGAGAGUGGAAAGUUCACACUGUGACGGUAGCUUACCAGAAAGGGACGGCUAACUACGUG